AUUGAACGCUGGCGGCAGGCCUAACACAUGCAAGUCGAACGAGUGGCGGACGGGUGAGUAAUGUCUGGGAAACUGCCCGAUGGAGGGGGAUAACUACUGGAAACGGUCGCUAAUACCGCAUACCAUCGGAUGUGCCCAGAUGGGAUUAGCUAGUGGGUGGGGUAACGGCUCACCUAGGCGACGAUCCCUAGCUGGGCUGAGAGGAUGACCAGCCACACUGGAACUUGAACACGGUCCAGACUCCUACGGUAGGCAGCAUUGGGGAAUAUUGCACAAUGGGCGCAAGCCUUAUACAGCCAUGCCGCGUGUAUUAAGAAGGCCUUCGGGUUGGAAAGUACUUUCAGCGAGGAGGCGUUACUCGCAGAAGAAGCACCGGCUAACUCCGUGCCAGCAGCCGCGGUAAUAC
rnacentral:rRNA from 1 species